rnacentral:rRNA from 1 species
AAAAUUUUUAUAGUCGAACAGACUAUCUAUUUUAAGCGCUGCCCUAAAAAGAAAUUUUAAUUCAACAUCGAGGUCGCAAACAAUUAUGUCGAUAUGAACUCUCAAUAAUUAUUACG